UCAUUGUUCACAAAUUCGGUAAAUUUCUCAAAAGGAAAGGAGGUUUCAAAUGGUUUCAGAAGAAAGAGGCGAGAGACUCAACUGAAAGGGCAAGGUUCCUAAAGACCGCCUAACUUGCCAUGAGUGUGGCAAACCAGGACACAUGCGCUAUCAAUGCCCGAGCUACCUUAAGAAAGUUGAGAACGACAAGAGCAAUCCCCGA
rnacentral:lncRNA from 1 species